UACGUAGGUGGCAAGCGUUGUCCGGAUUUAUUGGGCGUAAAGCGAGCGCAGGCGGUUCCUUAAGUCUGAUGUGAAAGCCCACGGCUCAACCGUGGAAGGUCAUUGGAAACUGGGGAACUUGAGUGCAGAAGAGGAGAGUGGAAUUCCAUGUGUAGCGGUGAAAUGCGUAGAUAUAUGGAGGAACACCAGUGGCGAAGGCGACUCUCUGGUCUGUAACUGACGCUGAGGCUCGAAAGCGUGGGGAGCAAACAGGAUUAGAUACCCUGGUAGUCCACGCCGUAAACGAUGAGUGCUAAGUGUUGGAGGGUUUCCACCCUUCAGUGCUGCAGCUAACGCAUUAAGCACUCCGCCUGGGGAGUACGGCCGCAAGGCUGAA
rnacentral:rRNA from 1 species